rnacentral:rRNA from 1 species
UGAAUACGAGACGCUAAGGCGUUGAAGUAGUGUAUGUCAUACUUCCAAGAAAAGCUUGCACUGUCAUAGAUAAAAAACGCCUGUACCAUAACCGACACAGGUGGGUAGGUAGAGUAUACUAAGGGGCGCGAGAUAACUCUCUCUAAGGAACUCGGCAAAAUAACUCCGUAACUUCGGGAGAAGGAGUGCCUUAUUUAUAAGGCUGCAAUAACAAGAUCCAAGCAACUGUUUAUCAAAAACACAGGUCUCCGCUAAGUCGUAAGACGAUGUAUGGGGGCUGACGCCUGCCCAGUGCCAGAAGGUUAAAGAAGUUGGUUAGCAAUAGCGAAGCUGAUAACUGAAGCCCUGGUGAACGGCGGCCGUAACUAUAACGGUCCUAAGGUAGCGAAAUUCCUUGUCGGGUAAGUUCCGACCCGCACGAAAGGCGUAAUGAUUUGGAUACUGUCUCGGAGAGGGGCUCGGUGAAAUAGACUUGUCUGCGAAGAUGCGGACUACCUGCACCAGGACAGAAAGACCCUAUGAAGCUUUACUGUAACUUGAAAUUGAAAUUGGACUUUAUUCGCGCAGUAUAGGUGGGAGGCGUUGAUUGUAAUCUUGCGGGAUUAUUGGAGCCAUCAGUGAGAUACCACCCUUGUAAUGUUAGAUUUCUAACUUUGAAUCAUUAUCUGGUCAAAGAACAGUUUCAGGCGGGCAGUUUGACUGGGGCGGUCGCCUCCUAAACGGUAACGGAGGCGUACAAAGGUUUCCUCUGAACGGUUAGAAAUCGUAUCUAGAGUGUAAAGGCAUAAGGAAGCUUGACUGUGAGACCUACAAGUCGAGCAGGGACGAAAGUCGGUCUUAGUGAUCUGACGGUACUGAGUGGAAAGGCCGUCACUCAACGGAUAAAAGUUACUCUAGGGAUAACAGGCUGAUCUCCCCCAAGAGUUCACAUCGACGGGGAGGUUUGGCACCUCGAUGUCGGCUCAUCGCAUCCUGGGGCGGUAGUACGUCCCAAGGGUUGGGCUGUUCGCCCAUGAAAGCGGUACGCGAGCUGGGUUCAGAACGUCGUGAGACAGUUCGGUCCAUAUCCGGUGCAGGCGUUAGAAUAUUGAGAGGAGCCUUCUUUAGUACGAGAGGACCGAGAAGGACAUACCUCUGGUGUACCAGUUAUCGUGCCAACGGUAAACGCUGGGUAGCUAUGUAUGGAGUGGAUAACCGCUGAAAGCAUCUAAGUGGGAAGCCCACCUCAAGAUAAGUAUUCU